rnacentral:rRNA from 1 species
AGAAUCAACGCUGGCGGCGUGCCUAACACAUGCAAGUCGAGCGAGAAAGGGGCUUCGGCCCUGAGUAAAGCGGCGCACGGGUGAGUAACACGUGGGUAAUCUGCCCUAGAGUGGGGAAUAACAUCGGGAAACCGAUGCUAAUACCGCAUACGCUCAUGAAGUCUUCGGAUUUUGUGACGAAAGGAGCAAUCCGCUCUUGGAGGAGCCCGCGGCUGAUUAGCUAGUUGGUAAGGUAAUGGCUUACCAAGGCUACGAUCAGUAUCCGGUCUGAGAGGACGGUCGGACACACUGGAACUGAGACACGGUCCAGACUCCUACGGGAGGCAGCAGUGGGGAAUUUUUGGCAAUGGGGGAAACCCUGACCAAGCAACGCCGCGUGGAUGAUGAAGUAUCUUGGUACGUAAAAUCCUUUCGACGGGGAAGAAAGCCGCAAGGUCUGACGGUACCCGUAGAAGAAGCCCGGCUAACUCCGUGCCAGCAGCCGC